CUCCUCGACGGUGACGCCGACUGACUCUCAAUGGCGUGUGACAUUCCGUCACGCGUUCGAGUGAAGGGCACGCAACGGGCGGAUUCCCGGCCGAAGUCACACCUACCUUCGGUGACAACACAAACGGCCCCCGCCCGGGAUGGCAGUCCCGGCCGAGGGCCUCACCGACAAGGAAGACAAGGCUUCCCC
rnacentral:ncRNA from 1 species